CGUGUAGGCGGCCAGAUAGGUCGGUUGUGAAAACUAGAGGCUCAACCUCUAGACGUCGACCGAAACCAUUUGGCUAGAGUCCGGAAGAGGAGAGUGGAAUUCCUGGUGUAGCGGUGGAAUGCGCAGAUAUCAGGAAGAACACCCGUGGCGAAGGCGGCUCUCUGGGACGGUACUGACGCUGAGACGCGAAAGCGUGGGGAGCGAACA
rnacentral:rRNA from 1 species